GACCUCGGAUCAGGUAGGAAUACCCGCUGAACUUAAGCAUAUCAAUAAGCGGAGGAAAAGAAACCAACAGGGAUUGCCCCAGUAACGGCGAGUGAAGCGGCAACAGCUCAAAUUUGAAAUCUGGCCUUGGCCCGAGUUGUAAUUUGUAGAGGAUGCUUUUGGUGCGGUGCCUUCUGAGUUCCCUGGAACGGGACGCCAGAGAGGGUGAGAGCCCCGUAUAGUCGGCCACCUAUCCUUUGUAAAGCUCCUUCGACGAGUCGAGUAGUUUGGGAAUGCUGCUCAAAAUGGGAGGUAUAUCUCUUCUAAAGCUAAAUAUUGGCCAGAGACCGAUAGCGCACAAGUAGAGUGAUCGAAAGAUGAAAAGCACUUUGAAAAGAGGGUUAAAUAGCACGUGAAAUUGUUGAAAGGGAAGCGCUUGUGACCAG
rnacentral:rRNA from 1 species